AAAAUUUUAGUUUAAUAAAAAUAAUUCAUUUACAUUGAAUAGAUUUAAAUAUUUAAAAAUUUUA
rnacentral:tRNA from 1 species